rnacentral:rRNA from 1 species
UACGUAGGUGGCGAGCGUUGUCCGGAAUUAUUGGGCGUAAAGGGCGUGUGGCGGGAUAUUAAGUCUUAAGUAUAAAUGCGAAGCUUAACUUCGUAUUGCUUAAGAAACUGAUAUUCUUGAGUUAAGGAGAGGAAAGCGGAAUUCCCAGUGUAGCGGUGAAAUGCGUAGAGAUUGGGAGGAACACCAGUGGCGAAGGCGGCUUUCUGGACUUAUACUGACGCUGAGGCGCGAAAGCCAGGGGAGCGAACGGG